GUGACCCAGUGGGUGAAUAAACUUGAUUUGAGCUUUACUAGUUGUCUGUGAGUUUUUAUUCUGUUCAUUUAGUGCCUGACAGUUCACUGCGAUUUAUAGUCGAACUGGAGGGUCAGAAUCAGUGGAGAAGCAGUCAGCACAAAAACCAAGGACCUGAGUCCUAAGACCAUGCCUAAGACUACCUGGCCAAAUUACUCCUUGCUGUCCCCGGUCAACCUGCUGCCCCUCUUUUCAACUGUUCUACCUAUGGAACCCUGACCUGUUCACCGGACGUGCUACCUUGUCCCAGACCGGCGGAUUUCGACUCUCUACCGCACCUGCUGUCUCUAACUCUGAAUGAUCGGCUAUGAAAAGCCAACUGACAUUUAUUCCUGAGGUGCUGACCUGUUGCACCCUCUACAACCACUGUUACGGAUACAGGUAUCCUGUAUCCUGUGUGUGUGUGUGUAUCCUGUGUUGUUUUCUCUCCUUCACCCCUCACAGGUGAAAAUCAUCACUCCCCAAUCAGUCAACAAUCAAUCAUCAAUCAGAAGACACACCUCCUCCUGUUUCCUACCCAAUCACAGUUCCUUUCCCUUGGUUUAAAAACCCCGUCAGUUGUUUGCUCUAGAGCUCAAUCUCUCUGUAAAUGCCAUGUCUGUAGGUCUCGCUGUUUCACUCUCUCUUUAUGUAUUGACCUCUCUUUUGUUUGAGCACCUCCAUAGCACUUGUUUUUGGUUAUGGUGUUUGUUUGUUUGCUGGUGGGAAAAGGGGGAACCAAGAAAAGUCGCCCAUGGGCAUACACUACCCGUAGGUAGACUUUGUUAAAUACACUAGUUAGAACUGGGCGGACCACCCACUGUAUUUUUGGUUAGUUAGUUAGCUGUUGUUAAAGUAGGCUAGUCUAGCUUAGGGGUGUUUUUGAAUACUUAUUGUUUCUUUCCUUGGGUCCAGCUCAGCCCCUUUUCCUGCUCCCCCCAUUACCGUAUGUUUUACAAUAAACCCUGAGUUUGACGGUA